GAAACAGGUGCUAAUACCGCAUAACAGUUUAUGCCGCAUGGCAUAAGAGUGAAAGGCGCUUUCGGGUGUCGCUGAUGGAUGGACCCGCGGUGCAUUAGCUAGUUGGUGAGGUAACGGCUCACCAAGGCCACGAUGCAUAGCCGACCUGAGAGGGUGAUCGGCCACACUGGGACUGAGACACGGCCCAGACUCCUACGGGAGGCAGCAGUAGGGAAUCUUCGGCAAUGGACGAAAGUCUGACCGAGCAACGCCGCGUGAGUGAAGAAGGUUUUCGGAUCGUAAAACUCUGUUGUUAGAGAAGAACAAGGACGUUAGUAACUGAACGUCCCCUGACGGUAUCUAACCAGAAAGCCACGGCUAACUACGUGCCAGCAGCCGCGGUAAUACGUAGGUGGCAAGCGUUGUCCGGAUUUAUUGGGCGUAAAGCGAGCGCAGGCGGUUUCUUAAGUCUGAUGUGAAAGCCCCCGGCUCAACCGGGGAGGGUCAUUGGAAACUGGGAGACUUGAGUGCAGAAGAGGAGAG
rnacentral:rRNA from 1 species